rnacentral:tRNA from 1 species
GUGGCUGUGGCUCAAAGGUAGAGCGGGUCAGCCCUCAACCACAAGAUUGGUGUUUCGAUCCCAGGCUCGCCCGGCCACA